CCACUUGCAGGGGGCCCACUCAGUUCUACUUGUGAUUUCUUAUUGCAUGAAUUCAGCAACAUUUGACCAAAUACUGUGUUAAAUGUUGGGGAUGAAAAGAAAAAUGCUACUCAAUUCUUUUUUAUAAAGAUGCUGCAGGCUAAGAGCGAAAGAGACACAAAUAAGGACCAUCUGAUCUGUUGUAAUUAUAGCUGUAAGAGGCAGUGAGGACAUAAAGGAAAGAGUGAUUAUUUUACGGCUAGAAGUUUGGGUGUGGUGACCAGUCAACUAUAGGAAAUGAUGCCCCCAAAAUGUGACUUAUCUAUUAGUAUUUGUUUUCUUUUUAAGUUAGGCGUAACAGAUAUACAGUAAUGUUCACACAUCUUCGUUGUACAGCUCAGUGAAAUUUUACAUAUGUAUACAUCCAUGUAAUUACCACCCAGAUGAAGAUAUUGGAUGGGACAUUUCCAUCUCCCAGGGAGGCUUCUUUGUGCCCCUUCCUAGUCAAUCCUCCCCACAUCCAGAGACCAACUCUUUGCAGUGGGUAUGGAUGCUUCUGUUUUAAACCUGAAGAUUCAAACAUGCACUCUUAGUGACUUCAUUUUUCUGCCAGCACUGGGAUUUUCAAGUAGAGAGUCAAUGAAACCAGCUUGGCAUUGGGUUACUGAAAUGUAUCCACAAAGGAUGGACAACCCCAUGGCACUCCCUCUUCUGCCUUCUCUGGAUAUACUCUUUCCUAGGCCAGCACCAUCACGGACCCUGACUUUGCUUCAAGAAAUGCAGCGUCUCCCUCACAGAAGUUUAUUCACUCCAUUGAGAACCUACAGUGGAGUGUGCUGUCUGCACGUGGCUGAGAUACCCAGGCAGGACUCUGUGGUACAAGGACAGGACAUGUUGUUAAGAGGACAAACUGCGUGUGAAAUGGAUACGUUGCAGAGGCUGGAUUCUACGGAGCAGAUGGGCUUCCUAGGUUCUCUCAGGAUCACUUAUACUUUUGACCAGCUUUGAGAAAGGAUUGAUCUGCCAUUGAUGUUGAUUCUGCCAUGACAUCAGCUGUCUGGGUUUUACUGAUACAUGCAAGACAUAUAUCAUGGGCAUAUUCAGAUUUCUGUUCUACUUCACUCUUAAUAGUAGUAAUCCUUGAGCACUAGCCAAUUUUUGAGUGCUUACUAUGUGCCAGGCACUAUAAUAGUUAUUUGUG
rnacentral:lncRNA from 1 species